rnacentral:rRNA from 1 species
GCGAUUCUCUUCGGAGAAGAGCGGCGGACGGGUGAGUAACGCGUGGGUAACCUGCCCUAUACACACGGAUAACGUACCGAAAGGUACGCUAAUACGAGAUAACAUUGUUGGAUGGCAUCUUCUAACAAUCAAAGCUCCGGCGGUAUAGGAUGGACCCGCGUCUGAUUAGCUAGUUGGUGAGGUAAUGGCUCACCAAGGCGACGAUCAGUAGCCGACCUGAGAGGGUGAUCGGCCACACUGGAACUGAGACACGGUCCAGACUCCUACGGGAGGCAGCAGUGGGGAAUAUUGCACAAUGGGCGAAAGCCUGAUGCAGCAACGCCGCGUGAGCGAUGAAGGUCUUCGGAUCGUAAAGCUCUGUCCUCAAGGAAGAUAAUGACGGUACUUGAGGAGGAAGCCCCGGCUAACUACGUGCCAGCAGCCGCGGUAAUACGUAGGGGGCUAGCGUUAUCCGGAAUUACUGGGCGUAAAGGGUGCGUAGGCGGUCUUUCAAGCCAGAAGUGAAAGGCUACGGCUCAACCGUAGUAAGCUUUUGGAACUGUAAGACUUGAGUGCAGGAGAGGAGAGUGGAAUUCCUAGUGUAGCGGUGAAAUGCGUAGAUAUUAGGAGGAACACCGGUUGCGAAGGCGGCUCUCUGGACUGUAACUGACGCUGAGGCACGAAAGCGUGGGGAGCAAACAGGAUUAGAUACCCUGGUAGUCCACGCCGUAAACGAUGAGUACUAGGUGUCGGGGGUUACCCCCCUCGGUGCCGCAGCUAACGCAUUAAGUGCACCGCCUGGGGGAGUACGGUCGCAAGACU